AAUGGCUCAUUACAACAGCCACAGUUUAUUGGGUCUCCAUUUACUUGGAUAACUGAGCUAAUUGUUGAGCUAAUACACGCACCAAAGCUUCGACCUCACGGGAGGAGCGCAUUUAUUAGAACAAAACCAAUCGGACUUCGGUCCGUCCAUUGGUGAAUCUAAAUAACUUAGCCGAUCGCAUGGUCUCGCACCGGCGACUCACCUUUCAAAUGUCUGCCUUAUCACCUUUCGAUGGUAGUUUAUACGCCUACCAUGGGUUUUACGGGUAACGGAGAAUAAGGGUUCGACUCCGGAGAGGGAGCCUGAGAAACGGCUACCACAUCCAAGGAAGGCAGCAGGCACGCAAAUUACCCACUCCCGGCACGGGGAGGUAGUGACGAAAAAUAACGAGGCGGUUCUCUAUGAGGCCCGCCAUCGGAAUGGGUACAAUCUAAA
rnacentral:rRNA from 1 species